AGACGUCGUGCUCUUCUGAUCUGUCUCCGAGUAGUUCUGAUGAAGGCCGGUUCUCUUUUUAUUAGCUACUGAGUCAGUGGGCUUGAAUUCUAUCCCUAGGUUUUAUAAUCACCUUGAAUCUGUAGCAGAUAUAACCAGGACUCUAGGAGUAUAAGAUGGUUUUACUGCUGCAUCCUUCCCAUUAUCUGAUGCGGUUUCCGCGUUUGUAGCGAGACAAGAAUUGUCAAUUUCUUACAAGUUCAAACAAGAUGAUCUAGUUUCUCCAG